rnacentral:ncRNA from 2 species
CGACCCCGUGCGGGAGAGUCCCCGGUCUGGCCGCCGGGGCGCCGAAGGAGCAACUCCUCCCCGGAAUCUCUCAGGCAUCCGAACCGCACGGUCGAG